rnacentral:sRNA from 1 species
CUUGGUCAUUUAGAGGAAGUAAAAGUCGUAACAAGGUUUCCGUAGGUGAACCUGCGGAAGGAUCAUUAUGAAUUAAUAAUAUUUGUGAAAUUUCAACAAACAACAAUAAUUUUAUAGUCUAUUAUUUUUAGUUAAAACUUUUAACAAUGGAUCUCUUGGUUCUCGUAUCGAUGAAGAACGCAGCGAAACGCGAUAUUUCUUGUGAAUUGCAGAAGUGAAUCAUCAGUUUUUGAACGCACAUUGCACUUUGGGGUAUCCCCCAAAGUAUACUUGUUUGAGCGUUGUUUCUCUCUUGGAAUUGCUUUGCUCUUCUAAAAUUUCGAAUCAAAUUCGUUUGAAAAACAACACUAUUCAACCUCAGAUCAAGUAGGAUUACCCGCUGAACUUAAGCAUAUCAAUAAGCGGAGGAAAAGAAACCAACAGGGAUUGCCUUAGUAACGGCGAGUGAAGCGGCAAAAGCUCAAAUUUGAAAUCGGCCACCAGGUCGAGUUGUAAUUUGUAGAGGAAGCUUUUGGCACGGCACCUGCUGAGUCCCCUGGAACGGGGCGCCAUAGAGGGUGAGAGCCCCGUAUAGCAGGACGCCUAGCCUCUGUAAAGCUCCUUCGACGAGUCGAGUUGUUUGGGAAU